CGGACUUAAAAUCCGUUGGCUUUUUAGACCAUGAGGGUUCAAGUCCCUCUACCCCCA
rnacentral:tRNA from 4 species